UUUUCUAGCGAAAAUUUACCACGGUUCUAUGGACAACUAAAGGAGAAUAAUUUCAUUUGUCAAAGGACAGGAGACUUUCCAUGCCUCAAGACUUUAAAAGCUGAAAUUGUAAGGCUUUAAGAAACUAAUGUAUAUGAGUUUCCUUAAAAACAUUAAGUAUAAUUCAAGUCUUAACUUUUUUAUUUAGACAUAUUUUUAAGAAAAAUAUAAUGUUUUAACUUUGUUCAAUGCAUUUUUAUAAUUUCUUUAAUUGGAAGAAAUAAAGCACUUAAUUUAUACACAAAAAUCUUUUUGAUUUAAGCUUUCGUAUGAACCUUUUUAAGAUCAUUACAUGGAGCUUACACUGUUUGAAGAGAUGUGGUAGUAAUGACCAAUGAGACAGCAACUCAACUACAAGAAUAACCAAAGGAACAUAUCAAGAUACUUUUUUAACUGUCUAACACAAAUCUAAUGCUCCCUACAGUCAAAUACCAAACAAUUAAAAGAGUAAACACAUGCAGUAAUUCUUUAAAUACAUAAUGUUUGUCUCCAAUUAAUAAAGCAGUUGUCUGAACUUGUGUCAUAUCUUUGUAGGGAAAUAAGAUGCAGAGAACCAUUCAUGAAGUGUAUACAUGAAACUGAUAUUUACAAUGUUCUUCAGAGCUAUAACUCUAGCCCUUAAGAUUACAUUACACUACUAUUGCUUGCUAAUUCUACUAUCAACAGUAGAAGAGAGAAGAUUCAGGACUAAGAGUGAUUUUUGCAAUUUGCUGUGGAUGAUGACUUAAUCAAAUUUGGAUGCAUUGAUGAAAUUCAUACAACGAUGACAGUUAAUUCUUUGAACAAGAAAAAGCUGUAGAUAUUUUCAAUGGUGCAAAACAAAAAAGUUAUGAACUAUAAAAUGAUUAAAACUGUGUUGAGUUUACAAUUUUUAUAAAAGUGACAACAUUUACCUACAUGUAAUGAAAUAUAAU
rnacentral:lncRNA from 1 species